GUGGGGGAUAUUGCACAAUGGGGGGAACCCUGAUGCAGCGACGCCGCGUGGGUGAAGAAGUAUUUCGGUAUGUAAAGCCCUAUCGGCAGGGAAGAAUUUAGACGGUACCUGACUAAGAAGCCCCGGCUAACUACGUGCCAGCAGCCGCGGUAAUACGUAGGGGGCAAGCGUUAUCCGGAUUCACUGGGUGUAAAGGGAGCGUAGACGGCCAUGCAAGCCUGGAGUGAAAGCCCGGGGCCCAACCCCGGGACUGCUCUGGGAACUGUGCGGCUGGAGUGCGGGAGGGGCAGGCGGAAUUCCUGGUGUAGCGGUGAAAUGCGUAGAUAUCAGGAGGAACACCGGCGGCGAAGGCGGCCUGCUGGACCGCGACUGACGUUGAGGCUCGAAAGCGUGGGGAGCAAACAGG
rnacentral:rRNA from 1 species